UAUGUAUUAUUUACGAGCGGCUUCUCUUUUUCGCACAAAAGGGUAUGCGACCGUAUUUUGUGCACCCCUUCUGCAUAUCAUUUGUGUGCAUGCCCUGUGGGUGCGUUUGUUUUAUUUGUUUUUUUUUUAUUUGUGCCACAGUGGAUAGCGUUUAUCAUGGCGCUGGAGGUUGGGAACGAAGAUUCGCGAUUGCUCCUUUGACAUGUCAAUGCUAUAUAAGCCGCUUGCUAAUUUUUUGUGUCAACAUAUCGCGUGCUCCAUCUGACCGUGCUUGGUGCCUUGUCUUAAAUAAAAGUCAGCAAAACCGAAAAAGCUUGUGUCCAGCCGCACAUCCUAAUCGGUAAAAAAAAAAA